GGGGACGACCUGGUUUCGACGUGGGUUGCAAAGCAGAACAGGGCAUACCGAGGGCUGGUCACCUCGUAAAUACAUCCAGAAACAAACUAACUGCAAACGAUAACUCGUACGCACUGGCAGCUUAAUCGCUGUUAGCUCCACAACACCUUGUCUCUGGGGUGGGCCGUCAAAAGCUGUGGAGUCAUUUACAGAGGCUCGCGCUCGGAGGGGUCACUUCGAAGAGCGUUAAACUCAAGGUGAAUCGCCUGUACACAGCGUGCACGUCCGCGUUGUACAGGUUAAAUUAAAUGGCAGUGCUAAGUAUGUAGAACUGUCUGUGGAGUGCUUGCGGACGCGGGUUCGAUUCCCGCCGUCUCCACCA
rnacentral:tmRNA from 1 species